rnacentral:misc_RNA from 1 species
AAAAGCUAAACCUUUUUGCAUUUUUGCAAUUAUGUCAUAUCCUUUUAAUUUUGGUAAUUUUGUCCCAGUUUCAAAGGUUAGUUGUUGUUUUGUCCAAUGGUCAAAAUUGAAGUGAUGGUGCUUACAUGGCAGUUGAAAAGAACAAAAAAAUUAUUUUUUUAAUUGUGUGAUCCACAUAUAUAAACCAACAAUUUUCAAAAAAUAAUAUUUUAAUUGAAUUA